rnacentral:rRNA from 1 species
UACGUAGGGCGCAAGCGUUGUCCGGAAUUAUUGGGCGUAAAGAGCUCGUAGGCGGUUUGUCGCGUCUGCUGUGAAAGCCCGGGGCUCAACCCCGGGUCUGCAGUGGGUACGGGCAGACUAGAGUGCAGUAGGGGAGACUGGAAUUCCUGGUGUAGCGGUGAAAUGCGCAGAUAUCGGAGGAGACCAGCGAGUGA